UGUGAAGAAGGCCUUCGGGUUGUAAAGCACUUUUGUCCGGAAAGAAAACGUCUUGGUUAAUACCCGGGGCGGAUGACGGUACCGGAAGAAUAAGCACCGGCUAACUACGUGCCAGCAGCCGCGGUAAUACGUAGGGUGCGAGCGUUAAUCGGAAUUACUGGGCGUAAAGCGUGCGCAGGCGGUCUGUUAAGACCGAUGUGAAAUCCCCGGGCUUAACCUGGGAACUGCAUUGGUGACUGGCAGGCUUUGAGUGUGGCAGAGGGAGGUAGAAUUCCACGUGUAGCAGUGAAAUGCGUAGAGAUGUGGAGGAAUACCGAUGGCGAAGGCAGCCUCCUGGGCCAACACUGACGCUCAUGCACGAAAGCGUGGGGAGCAAACAGGAUUAGAUACCCUGGUAGUCCACGCCCUAAACGAUGUCAACUAGUUGUUGGGGAUUCAUUUCCUUAGUAACGUAGCUAACGCGUGAAGUUGACCGCCUGGGGAGUACGGUCGCAAGAUUAAAACUCAAAGGAAUUGACGGGGACCCGCACAAGCGGUGGAUGAUGUGGAUUAAUUCGAUGCAACGCGAAAAACCUUACCUACCCUUGACAUGGUCGGAAGUC
rnacentral:rRNA from 28 species